rnacentral:rRNA from 1 species
UACGUAGGUCGCAAGCGUUGUCCGGAUUUACUGGGCGUAAAGAGCGCGCAGGCGGCUGGUCAAGUCCGAUGUGAAAUCUCCCGGCUUAACUGGGAAACUGCAUCGGAAACUGAUCGGCUUGAAGGUGGGAGAGGGUAGUGGAAUUCCCAGUGUAGCGGUGAAAUGCGUAGAUAUCGGGAGGAACACCAGUGGCGAAGGCGACUUCCUGGCCUGUUCUUGACGCUGAGGCGCGAAAGCUAGGGGAGCAAACGGG